rnacentral:rRNA from 1 species
GAUGAACGCUGGCGGCGUGCCUAACACAUGCAAGUCGAGCGAUUCUCUUCGGAGAAGAGCGGCGGACGGGUGAGUAACGCGUGGGUAACCUGCCUCAUACACAUGGAUAACAUACCGGAAGGUAUGCUAAUACAGGAUAAUAUAAGAGAUUCACAUGGAUUUCUUAUCAAAGCUCCGGCGGUAUGAGAUGGACCCGCGUCUGAUUAGCUAGUUGGUAAGGUAACGGCUUACCAAGGCGACGAUCAGUAGCCGACCUGAGAGGGUGAUCGGCCACAUUGGAACUGAGACACGGUCCAAACUCCUACGGGAGGCAGCAGUGGGGAAUAUUGCACAAUGGGCGAAAGCCUGAUGCAGCAACGCCGCGUGAGUGAUGAAGGCCUUCGGGUCGUAAAACUCUGUCCUCAAGGAAGAUAAUGACGGUACUUGAGGAGGAAGCCCCGGCUAACUACGUGCCAGCCGCCGCGGUAA